rnacentral:rRNA from 1 species
UACGUAGGGUGCAAGCGUUAUCCGGAAUUAUUGGGCGUAAAGAGCUCGUAGGCGGUUUGUCGCGUCUGCUGUGAAAACCGGAGGCUCAACCUCCGGCCUGCAGUGGGUACGGGCAAACUAGAGUGCGGUAGGGGAGAUUGGAAUUCCGUGGUGUAGGCGGUGAAAUGCGCAGAUAUCGAGGAGAACAGCCAUAGGCGAAGGCAGCUGCGUGGGACGUGACUGACGCUGAGAACGCGGAAAGCAGUGGGGAGCAAACAGG